rnacentral:rRNA from 1 species
CAAUGCAGUCGAGGGGUAACAGGAGAUUGCUUGCAAUCUUGCUGACGACCGGCGCACGGGUGCGUAACGCGUAUAGAACCUACCUUAUAUUGGGGGAUAGCCCAGAGAAAUUUGGAUUAAUACCCCAUGGUAUGCUGAAGUGGCAUCAGUUUAGUAUUAAAGAUUUAUCGAUAUAAGAUGGCUAUGCGUUCUAUUAGCUAGUUGGUAAGGUAACGGCUCACCAAGGCGACGAUAGAUAGGGGUCCUGAGAGGGAGAUCCCCCACACUGGUACUGAGACACGGACCAGACUCCUACGGGAGGCAGCAGUGAGGAAUAUUGGACAAUGGAGGCAACUCUGAUCCAGCCAUGCCGCGUGCAGGAAGACUGCCCUAUGGGUUGUAAACUGCUUUUAUAGAGGAAGAAACCGCUCUACGUGUAGAGCUCUGACGG